rnacentral:misc_RNA from 1 species
AGAAGCCACUGCUUUAUCUUUUGUUUAUUGCCCAACCUUUUAACUAUUUGCUUGAUGGAUUAGCUGAAUCUAGAAACUAGAGCUGUAAAUUAGCUAGAUUUUAUUUUUCUGGAAUAUUUACAUUCUGUUUAGCAUUCUGUUUAUUGAUAUUCCUUCGUUGUUAUGAAUGGUAUUUAACUGCUCCGUUGAUUAUCUCCUUUAAUGAAUACCUUAAUCAUUUGUUAAAUCUCUUUUCUCAUUCGUAUCUCUUCCAUGUUAAAUGCUACCUAUCAUGUCUCAAAUUAAUGUUGUUAUUAUUAUUCCUUUUGAUUUUUCUUGCCCUUACCAUAACACUUGAUGAAAAUUUCUAAUGCCUUCCAUGAUUCCAUCAUUGACUGCUG